rnacentral:rRNA from 1 species
CGCCCGGGAAUUACGAGUAAACUUAAAACCCAAAGGACUUGACGGUGUCCCAUUCCCCCUAAAGGAGCCUGUUCUAUAAUCGAUAACCCCCGCUCUACCUCACCACUUUUUGCUUAUUCAGCCUGUAUACCUCCGUCGUAAGCUUGCCCUGUGAACGUCUAUCGAGCAAGCCCAAGGGCCUUACNCACCAACACGUCAGGUCAAGGUGCAGUCCAUGAAGUGGGAAGCAAUGGGCUACAAUUUCUAAGCUAAAACAAACAAAAUACUGCAUGAAACACAGUUAUGAAGGUGGAUUUAGUAGU